AGUGAACGCUGGCGGUAGGCCUAACACAUGCAAGUCGAACGGCAGCACAGUAAGAGCUUGCUCUUACGGGUGGCGAGUGGCGGACGGGUGAGGAAUACAUCGGAAUCUACUUUUUCGUGGGGGAUAACGUAGGGAAACUUACGCUAAUACCGCAUACGACCUACGGGUGAAAGCAGGGGAUCUUCGGGCCUUGCGCGAUUGAAUGAGCCGAUGUCGGAUUAGCUAGUUGGCGGGGUAAAGGCCCACCAAGGCGACGAUCCGUAGCUGGUCUGAGAGGAUGAUCAGCCACACUGGAACGGAGACACGGUCCAGACUCCUACGGGAGGCAGCAGUGGGGAAUAUUGGACAAUGGGCGCAAGCCUGAUCCAGCCAUACCGCGUGGGUGAAGAAGGCCUUCGGGUUGUAAAGCCCUUUUGUUGGGAAAGAAAAGCAGCAGGUUAAUACCCCGCUGUUCUGACGGUACCCAAAGAAUAAGCACCGGCUAACUUCGUG
rnacentral:rRNA from 1 species